GUUGUUUCGAAGCUUUUGCAAGAUGUUGUUUAUUUGCUACGCACGUAGAGAGUCUCCGGCGUCGCCGCUGGGUAAGCGUGCGCGGGACGGGACGUUUUCCGAGGACUUCGGGAAAGAGCAUGCUACGAGUGACGAAAUGCGAUGGAAUUUUUUUUUUGCGGUGUUACGCGCUGAGCUUGAGAAACGCAAUGAUGAUCAGACAACAAGCCAAGCAGGAGACGGGAUCAGAUAAGAGAACAAGGCUUCUCCUACGCCGAACUCCUUAGUCCAAAAUUCAUCGCGAGGCCUUACUAUUCAGAUGAUACCUGCUCAAUAUUUCACCUUGCACACUAGAAACGUAAAAGUAUGCGGUGUACUCUUUAUGUUCGAGAACAGCUGUGUCCUCACAUCUGGACCAUCUUCCGAAACUAAAAUCGUGAUCUACCCGAUGAGCACGACAAGGAGAGGAGCCAUCAGCGGGCACUAAAGUUAUUUAUUUAUUUAUUUAUUUAUUUAUUUAUUAAACGGCCAAUGCAAUGCAUCUGUAUACUGGAGCGAGAUUCUACAGUGAAAACCCAGGUAGUAGAUAAUCAAAUACUGCUUGGUUUACGAUUCCAGCGCGUGCCGUGAGCGAGCUUUCGUGAAUUGUUUUCGGAAUGCCAAUGUAACCUCCGCCAAAUAAUACCGAGAGUUUUGACCAUUUUAUGGUGUUAAAAGUAACACGAUACCAACCGGGCGAUGUUUUCUCCAUAGUUAAGAGACUCAGAAAACCCAGGCGGAGUUGUGUAGCGCACGGUCAAUUCAUCCCGAACUUACGGUCAGGAUUUGGAUAGUAUAUCUGUAGCGGUAAUAUAUUUCGCAGCUGCACAUCUACGCCUUGCGAUACCAGGUUUAGAAGCGUGUAAAGAGAUACACAAGAUCUGUGACAUGAGGUCUGUUUUCAUCUCCGUUUCUUCCAGGGAUUUCACAGCACCUUCGCGAGCACCCCCGAUUCCAUUCUCGACUUGGCCUGGUCCGGUUCAAAUCCCGAGCACGUGUACCGGAUCCGGCGCCUUCGAAAAAAAUCUCACGCGGGAAAGGAUCGUCUUACUUUCCCGAUGACGACGCGGAGCGAAGUGACAACGCGGCUUCACGUGUCCGAAAGGUGCUGAAUGCGCACUCGUCGGUUGAAAGGCUUCAAAACUCACAUCGGUUCAUCCCCCCAUCCAUUCUUCAGACGAAAGUGAAGAGAGCCAUGAAAUGGAAAUGGCCACAUUGCACGCCUGGUUGCCUUGGUGAAUUACUGAUAGCGUCAGACAAAGUUUAGUCAGGAUCUCUAAAGAGGAUUUCACGCACAAAAGAACUACAGAGAUGCAUCGGAGUGCGAACGGCCACGUUUCACAAAAUCUCAGCUAUUUCGCAUUUUUAGAACACGUUCUGGACAAUCAGGAAAAGGGGAAAACACACCUCCAGUCCGGAGACGUUAAACCUUUCACACUGUGGGUCGGACACGGAAGCGGCGACCUUGUCUGAACGGCUAUAGACAAAUCGGCAACCCCGCUACCCAUAAUUACGGCUAAUCACUUCACCUCUGACCCCCGUAAUUGCUUCCCAUCGGCCGCGUUGCCGACACAGUGAAGCAGUAAGGGGCGAAACGUUCUAUUGACCCACUGCUCCAAACCAAACAGCGCUAACACUAUUACUCUCACAAAGACUGACCCCAGUGAUUUCAGCUCUUGUGAACGGUAGACACAAACCCGACUGUUCUUUUGUUACACGUCUGAAAGGCGCAGUAUCGAUGAUACAGUCCACGUGCGGAAGGUGGUGGAGCCGAAACGAAGAGACCGUGCUAUCCAAUAUGACAUUUUUCUGCCAGCCCUGCACCAAACCUGCCCGGGAAACCGAGUAGCUGACUACCUUCCCUUUCUCAACAGCUUGGCAUGUAUAAUAUAUAUACACACACACGACAGCUUUUUCCACCAAUAGCUAGGUAGAUUUCAUGCAAGCCAGCUAUCAACAUUCGCUUAUGUAUGUCUAAUUGCCCCCCCCCAAAAUAAACAUCUAAGCCCCACCUAUAUCAUCCCAAAUAACAAUAAUAAAAAAAAAAAGAUAUGUGGUGCAAAAACAAGAAAGCUCAUCGCCGAAAGAACACCACACCCGACGGUGAAGCAUGGUGGUGGCAGCAUUGCGAAGUGGGGCUGCUUCCUUCCAGCUGGAGCUGGGAGAGAAUCAUGGACGGCUCCAAAUACCGAUUUAUUUCGGCACAAAACUUGCAGAACAGCUUAAGACGACAAAAAAAAUCGUACCUUCCAGCACAAUAGCGACUCAUGGUACGAAUCUAAGUGAACGGCUUCAGAACCAUGCAUAAAUCCUAUCGAAGACCUGGAAAGGGGCUGUGCACAGGAUGUCCCCUUGCAAUUAGGUAGAGCUGGAACAUUUUGUCAAGGAACAGUGGAAUAAAGCUGCCAAAUCAUGAGGUAAAUGGUGCACUUGUAUAGCGCUUUACACCGUGUCUCAUUCACACACACACACACACACCAGUGGUAGCAGAGCUGCCAUGCAAGUUAGCCAUGCUAACUUGCCAUCGGGAGCGACUUGGGGUUCGGCGUCUCGCCCAAGGACACUUUUCGGUAUGUGGAGUCACGUGGGCCGGGAAUGGAACCGCCAACCCUACGCCAACCCGCUCUACCACCUGAUCCACAGCCUACAGGUGUUAAGUUGGUAGACUCUUUCCCAAAAAGACUCGAGGCGGAAUGCUGGAUUUUUUAUUUUAUUAUUAUUAUUAUUUUUUAAUAGCCACGGUAUAUCCUGUGCAAACUGAAACGUUGGUAGAGAUUCAAUCACACCUUGCUGGAAACGUUUCCAUGCCGCUUCUUUCGGAUGGAAACAUUCCAGGUAGCGCGCCUUUGUAUGAUCCCCCCCCCCCCCAAAAAAAAAUAAAAUAAAUAAAAUAAAGACGCGGAGGCGUUCAUAGCUGCAAGCGAUAAAACCCAGACAGCGUUCAGACUCCUUCUUCUCAUUCACAGUUUGGGUACGGCCUACGUACAAGGACAAAAGGUUUUACACACAGAUAUAACAUUUCAUCUCCCAACCCGGUUGCCUCUGCCAGGAGGUUAAGACGUGGCCGUAGAUCAAUCUUUUAAUAGAGAUGACAGCCAUAAAUAAACCAGCAUCCAAAUCGUCACAGGCAGACGAAAUAAACGCGGUCUCACUAAUGUGUGAUUAGUUUUGUUUAUGAAUGGUGCCAGAAAAAUACGGCGCAACAGAUGCAGUGGACAGAAAUCACGAGCAUUUCUGUGUGUUCUUCUUCAGUACUAAAACACUGCGUUUAUCUGGCUUUUACCGGUUUAUUUAUUUAUUUAUACGUCAUGGUGAAUGCGCGACGACGACGACGACAACAACAAAAAAAGAAACACCCCAACUUUUUUUUUCCUGAUCAUCAACACCUGUAUAUUUCAGAUGCCCUUAUCACGGUAUACCGUCUCACCUCUCGGCUGGAACGGAUAACUAAACUGCGCCGACUCCCCUGGCGCCCGUGCGUAUCCUCUUGCCUUCAUGAGCCGGGUCACUGUAAAAUGCAUGGCUGGCUUUAGUAUUGAACGGGCAAAUGAUUACCUUUUACUAUCAUCAAAAUACAGGUGAUGUAAUAUUAGCCAAGUGCACUGGUUAAAUUCAACUACGCGAUCAGGCAUUAACCGACGUGACGUCAAGGAGAGAGAGACGGACACGCCGUUACCGAAGACGGCUUUCUUCUGGAGAUGUUUAAUGAUGCGUAAAUGUCGAUUUUUAUUUUCACAGUACGACGGUGAGGAAUAAUGGAAAAACGUGACAAAAAAACGACCUCUUUACAUGCGCCGUGUUGUAUCCCGCCCGGAAUCCCUCACAAGCAAGUAUCUUAUCGAUUUAAGAUUUCGACGGUCUACGGGGCGUGCCAUUAUUAAAGAGCAGCUUACAGAAUCAUUAGACUAAAUGUGCUACUCAUUACGUAUUAACACAGCUGAAUGUCGUUAGGGGUGGAGCCAGAGUUAAACUGUCUCAUGGUGCCCAUGGUGAUACAGUAAAGCAGGUGCUCCAGACGUUUACGGGUCAAACAGGACACACAAGGUGCGCUCUUGGUUAUCCAUUCCAGACGGCGGUGCGGUAGCCUAUGCGAAUGACACACCUGUCCUGGCGUGUGCGUGUCGUCUCCGGAGAAAUAAAACGAGAGAAAAGAGAGGCGAGGACGAUGUUCCGGGACGCCCGUUUCGCUGGUUUUCACGGCCGACGCCGCGUUAUUCGUGACGCUCGAGUGCGAGUCUCCUCCACAUCCUGCUCUCUCUGGCAUGGUGAGAAGGAAUCCCGACGUCGUGCUGAUUAAACGGGGAGCCUUGCGAUAUUUUUAGCCGGAGCAGCCUUGAUACAGCUGCACGCUUUUAUUCGGGGUGCACGAGCACGAGUUUCGAAAGCCUCGAUAGGUGCCCUCGCCAGCACAAUGCCGUGCCCGUCUCUGGCCUCCGGAGUGGCGGCUUUGUGGACGGGGCGCUGUGCAAUGAAACCAGCAGCUCUGGGCACGCUGCCUGAGGCACUGAUGCGGUUUCAGUCCCAGCCAAGAGAAUCCUAAAAAUAUAUCCGUAGUCUUUCUCAUUGUCUUAGUCUCUCUUCCGCUCCCCCUCCCCCCACCCCACAAUACCACUUCUUCCUUUAUAUCUUCCUUCUCUUUUCCUCUUCAUCCUUCCCUUUUUUCACUUACAUGAUACGGUGAAGCGUAAUUGAAACAGACGAGGGGUGAGGGGGGGGCGAUACGGUCACUGGUACAAUUUUAGAUACCGGAAGGGAGAGAUAUCUUUCUGGCACUCAUACGCUUCGGCGAAGUGAAAAAGUCCCCGCAUGUGCUGUGUCAGGAGAGCGCGACAAAAGGAAUAAUCCAGCUUUUAGAACGAGCUCACAUGUGGUCGUCUAUGAACGCUUGUAAGCGUAGAAAGCGCCCGUGAGCUUCCUUUUGCACGCUUUAAAUAAACAAACAAACAAAUAAAUAAAUAAAUCCCUACACAUGGAUUUUAAGGUUUAGCGUUACGCUUUAUUUAUGGCAGCGUUAUUGGUAAGAUAUUCUCUACACCAGCCAGGAUGAGGCCAUUGUAAAAAAUAAAUAAAUAAAAAUAUUUCCCCAUGUGUCAUAAUCGUUAGCAUGACCUCCCGUAGAGCCUCUACCGAUUGGACACCUUAAGACCUUCGUCCGAAUCCCAGUUCAUGAAUCGGAACACACCGAUGUGUACGUCUGUUUGAGCCAUACGCGCCGGACGCUGUAAAAACUCCCAUUGUGUCGGUGUUUCCUUUGUUAUUUUAGGGUCUGGAGGCUCUCUGGAACGGCUGAUCUAGAACGAGAGUCUAAGCCGGACUGGGAGUAGAGGCAGGACCACAAACAAUAAAAUGUCUUUACGCACAAGGCUGGGAAUCUUUGUUAAGGAUUUUAACUCACACACACACACACCACACUGCUAAAAGAGGAACCCUCCGUGACAAAGCUCUGCUCCCGUCAAGACACGGACACGCUAGGGAACCUAGCUUAAGAGUGUUCUGAGGAACCGGUCGGUGUUCGUAUUAAUGGUACAGGGUGAGAAUCGAUCAAAUACGGACUGAACGAACAGACCUCUCGGUGAACUCCACUACGAUCGGGAGAAAACCCUACCGAUUAAACCAUUAUCGGGACUGCGAUACGACUCCAUGGCUCGCAUCUGUUAGGAGUGCUCCUCCUCUGUGGCUUUAACUGGCUGAAACACAACCAUCUGAAACCAAUGAAAGCAGCCUGCAGCGCGCCGUGCUAUUAAGAGCCGACCACAUCACUCACAGCGCGCAGAACAAUGGGUGAGAGGGUGGUCCAGAUAAAUACACAGCACUGUUUCAGGUUAAGCUGGCCUGAAAAAUGCAGAGGAGGGGUUGGCUAAACUGUUCCACCGAGUGUAUGUUACCACUAACCCACUAGUGCUGUUGAAAGAUGAAAGGCUGGGGUAGGGACUAUUUUGGAGAUUCGAAACGCACCCCUAAAUUUGGAACCGUUUGGACAACUGAGCCAAGCCGACAUUCGCUAGUACUUAUGGCGCACUUUCAGUUUUAUUCUUUUCCAAGGUUCUUGUUUUUUUUUUUUCUUUUUCACUUCUACAUUUUAUCGUCGCUUUGCCGAUUGCGAAAACAGGCCAAAGCAAGAAUAUAAAAAAAAUCCUCUCUCUGUAUGAAUGAGUGGCUAUGGGACGUAGGUCAUAGAAGAAAAAGCGCCGCUAAAUCAACUCGGCAAACAGCGUCUUAAUGAGUCGAGCAACAUGUGUGAAUAGUCCAAGUGGUACGAUACGCAUGCGUACUCGGGGGCCGAUUCAGUGAUCUGGGGCACGAGAAGUCACUGUAUGGUACAGUAGGACAGCAGCUUAUUAAAAUAUCACUCUUUUUUCUAAAUUGUGGUAAUAUUUAAACAUUUACUGAACAUGACUCUGCAUCUGAACCGCCCACCAGCAUCAUGUGACAUUAAACUCACCUACUGCUGCAUUUGGGAGCAGGUGAGCAGAAUGAAGGGAAUGAAGAGGAGAAGAAGAGGGGCGUAUACAUAUGAGAGUGCGUGUGUGUAUAUAUAUAGUGUGUGUGUGUGUGUGUGUGAAAAUGUAUAUUUGAAAGAGCUUGUCUAUGUGUAUGACAGCGAGAGAGAGAGAGAGAGAACCAUGCUGAGAGAGAGAGAGAGAGAGAACCAUGCUGUGUGAGAGAGAGAGAGAGAGAGAGAGAACCAUGCUGAGAGAGAGAGAGAGAGAGAACCAUGCUGUGUGAGAGAGAGAGAGAGAGAGAGAGAGAGAGAGAGAGAGAGAACCAUGCUGUAUGUGUGUGUGUGUGUGUGUGUGAGAGAGAGAGAGAGGGAGAGAGAGGACCAUGCUGUGUGAGAGAGAGUGUGUGAGAGAGAGAGAGAACCAUGCUGUAUGUGUGUGUGUGUGUGUGUGUGUGUGUGUGUGUGUGUGUGUGUGAGAGAGAGAGAGAGAGAGAGAGAGAGAGAGAGAGAGAGAGAGAGAGGACCAUGCUGUAUGUGUGUGAGAGAGAGACAGAGAGAGAACCAUGCUGUGUGAGAGAGAGAGAGUGU
ensembl:lncRNA